GUACGCUGGCGGCACGCCUUAUACAUGCAAGUCGAACGAAGUAGCAAUACUUAGUGGCAGACGGGUGAGUAACAUGUAGGUAUCUUCCCUUUGGUGAGGAAUAACACGAGGAAACUUGUGCUAAUACCUCAUAAGUCUUAACGGAGAAAGCUUUAUGCGCCGAAGGAUGAGCCUGCACUUGAUUAGUUUGUUGGUGGGGUAAUGGCCUACCAAGACUUUGAUCUAUAGCUGAUCUGAGAGGAUGAUCAGCCACAUUGGGACUGAGACACGGCCCAAACUCCUACGGGAGGCAGCAGUAGGGAAUAUUGCACAAUGGAGGAAACUCUGAUGCAGCGAUGCCGCGUGAGUGAAGAAGGCCUUUGGGUUGUAAAGCUCUUUCGUCGGGGAAGAAAAUGACUGUACCCGAAUAAGAAGGUCCGG
rnacentral:rRNA from 1 species